GCGGCCCCGCGCGCUCAGCCCUGAGGGGAGCCCUGAGCGCUGCCUCCGCCGCGCGGGGAGCCGCCCACAGCCAUCGUCCCAGGGCCCUCCCCACGCCGAGAGGAGCUGCUAUCUCCAGUAACAGCACGCUGAACAGAGCAGCUGCCUGGUGUCACUCUUAGAGCUAAGAUAACAUCAGAUAAGGCGCCAAACCUGACGGGCUGCAGGUGAGAUCUUCGAUCAGAAGUGAUGAGAUACUUCACAACAGGAAUCUGAAGACAAGGAUUUGACAGUCUCCAGGACUAGCCUAAUGGCUCUCCUAGGGGAUUUGUAUUAUCCUCUAUCUUCUCCUGAAAUGAGUUACAUUACUUGGAGCCUCGACAGGUAAGGCAAAGAUUUUGUGAACUUGUAUCCCAACUGCAACAUGCAUCCAAAAAACAUCAGGAUCCAUGAGUCUUCUUCAAGGUGGCUGAGAUUGCUGGAAGCUGAUGAACUAGAUACAAGAGACGAUCCGCUGUUUCUUCUUGACCCAUUUACUGAUCGUAAGGAUUUGCUGUCGGUUUCCAAGAGCCUGCAAAGAAAGCACACAAAAACCAAAUUCAAGUUCUUCUAAUCAAAGGAUCACACUAUUAAUUGUUUGUUUGUAAGUCAGUUCUUCCAAUCUCUUGACAAAGAAUGCACCCAGAGGUUCAAUGGAACAUCAAUUGAUACUAAAUUUGAAAAGAAUUCUUCAAUGUUAGUGUUUUCUCUUGAGAUCUCAAGUAAUGCUGCAGACAGAACAGCUCACACUGCAGCAUUUUAAGAAAUGGAUAAAGAUGUCACCCACGGCUGUCAUGUAUCAGACUGACAAAGAGAACCUAAGGAAGUUAAAUAUCCCCAAUGAUAGUCUCAAAUGUCUGAGUACUUAAAAAAAUACAGUAAUUAAAAAGACAAAUAAUUAGCCUCCUAAAAUUCUACCUGAUUACACUUUUUUAAAAUUGACAGUGUAAAUACAGACAAAAUAAUUAAAACCCAAUGGAAUUUUAAAACACCUGGCAUUUGUUGACAACUGUUCACAAAUCAACAUGCUGUUUUAUAAAUGCAAGGGAGAAAUUUCUGACCUGAAGACUGGGGACCAGGUGACAGGAGUGAUUAGUACAGCUAAUGAAUGUUUAAUUAAUGCGCAGAGUUCAAACAUGAGAAUCUCUGGGGUUAUCAGGCAGCAGAGGACACACAAAGAUGUGCCAAGGGCCAGACAAGUUCCUGAAGAGGUUUCCCUGUUAGCUGGUUGCUAUGGCCCUCAGCUUGGCAAAGAGCUGGGAUUCUGGGCAAAAAGGCAUGCUUUGUUUAUCCUCAACUCACACUGAGCCCCAUAAACAGGGGGAAAUUUUUUAGACCAUGUGUUAGGUAAGAGCAAGAAUUCAGACUAACUUGAAAGUGUUUUGCUAUACCAAGAGUUUCGUUUGUGCUUUAAUUUCCAAGAAUUCCAACAUCAGUAUACGAGAGCCACGUGGUUGAAUAAUUUCUCAAUGCACCUGCACAAAAGCUGUCCCUGCCCAGCAUUUCAGCAAGGUUACGGUCUAGAUAUUUAAUAAAUUAUAAGCUGAGGUAUAUUGUACCUGAGAUGGUACACAAACCUCAGCAUACCUACAAUUUUUAAGCUCUCUGCUACAAUAGAGAUAUUUAUACUAGCUUUCCCAGCUUUCACCUACUGGUGUUUAUGAAAGGCGUGGGAAAAGUAAUUUAAUUCACAACGACAAGUACAGUUCUACAGCAGUAUUUUGUUUGGAAAAGGGUUAAAUGGUAAUGCCUCCGGAAAAAAAAAAAAAAGCAAAGCCUUUUUAAGACAAAUUUUCAUUUAGUCCAUAUUGAUGGAAUGCAAAAAAUCUAGUUUUAAAGAAAAUAUUUUAAAAAUCCAUUUUAAAUGUUUAGAAGCAUGGUUUAUAUUGACCCAUAGUGAAAAUGUAGUCUGGAACUCCUCUCAAUCCAAGAUAAUGCCUAAACAUCAAAUUCAAAGUAAUCACAGAGCAAAACCAAGCACAGAAUAAACAUUAAGAUGACAAAAACAAGGUUCUAACUAGUCACUUCCAGUUUUCACAGUUUUCUAUAGAAGUUACACUAAGUUUCUGCAAUUUGACCUUACCUGGAUAAACUCAUU